GAGUCGAGAGGGUUCGGCCCUCGGCUGACGGCUCAGUAACACGUGGAUAAUCUGCCCUUAGGUGGAGGAUAAUCUCGGGAAACUGAGGACAAUACUCCAUAGGUUUAGGAGGCUGGAAUGCAUCUAGACUGAAAGCUCCGGCGCCUAAGGAUGAGUCUGCGGACUAUCAGGUAGUAGUCAGGGUAAAGACCUGACUAGCCUACGACGGAUACGGGUUGUGAGAGCAAUAACCCGGAGACGAUAUCUGAGACACGAUAUCGGGCCCUACGGGGCGCAGCAGGCGCGAAAACUUCACACUGUGCGAAAGCACGAUGAGGGAAUCCCAAGUGCUUGCUCGUAAGAGUAAGCUGUUUCUCUGUCUAAAACGCAGAGAGAGUAAGAGCUGGGUAAGACGGGUGCCAGCCGCCGCGGUAAUACCUGCAGCUCAAGUGGUGGCCGCUAUUAUUGGGCCUAAAACGUCCGUAGCCGGUUUAGUAAAUGCCUGGGUAAAUCGUGUAGCUUAACUAUACGAAUUCCGGGUAGACUGCUAAACUUGAGACCGGGAGAAGCCAGAGGUACUCCUAGGGUAGAGGUGAAAUUCUGUAAUCCUAGGGGGACCACCAGUGGCGAAGGCGUCUAGCUAGAACGGGUCUGACGGUGAGGGACGAAACCCUGGGGCGCAAACCGGAUUAGAUACCCGGGUAGUCCAGGGCGUAAACGCUGCUUGCUUGAUGUUAGUUGGGCUCCGAGCCCAAUUAGUGUCGGAGAGAAGUUGUUAAGCAAGCUGCCU
rnacentral:rRNA from 1 species